AUUGAACGCUGGCGGCAUGCCUAACACAUGCAAGUCGAACGGAGGUAGGGGCAACUCUACUUCAGUGGCGGACGGGUGAGGAAUGCGUCGGAAUCUACCCUAUGGUGGGGGAUAACACAGGGAAACUUGUGCUAAUACCGCAUAAUGUCGAGAGACCAAAGCAGGGGACCGCAAGGCCUUGCGCGAUAGGAUGAGCCGACGCCCGAUUAGCUUGUUGGUAGGGUAAUGGCCUACCAAGGCGACGAUCGGUAGCUGGUCUGAGAGGAUGAUCAGCCACACUGGGACUGAGACACGGCCCAGACUCCUACGGGAGGCAGCAGUGGGGAAUAUUGGACAAUGGGCGCAAGCCUGAUCCAGCAAUGCCGCGUGUGUGAAGAAGGCCUGCGGGUUGUAAAGCACUUUUGUUCGGGAAGAAAUCAUGCUGGUUAAUACCUGGUAUGGAUGACGGUACCGAAAGAAUAAGCACCGGCUAACUUCGUGCC
rnacentral:rRNA from 1 species